rnacentral:lncRNA from 1 species
AUGUUAGCUAUAUACUUCAAUAUGAAUCCGAUGCUUUUCAUGUGUUGCUAUUGUGGUGGUAUGAAGCAUGUAACAUAAUCGAGAUAUACAAUAUAUACACGCAAUAUAUCCAUGCAUUCCCUACAAUGUUUAAGAUGUUGAAUAACUAUAUUAAAUAUGAUAUCCCUUACUUAUGAUAUUAUGAAUUGUGGACUCAAAUCUU